rnacentral:lncRNA from 1 species
CUCUCAUAAAUUGUGCUGCUAUGAGCUCUUGCUCUGUAUUUUAAAUACCUACACUACAAGAAGACCAGAGGAGUAAAGGAGCUGAUGGUAAUAAGAUGCAUAGUGUCUUGUGGAGGGGACUCACAGAUGGUUGUCAGAGCUAUUGCAAUUGAGUGUCAGGGCACUGCUCACUCGGGGGCCAGUCUCUUGUCAGAAGCACAGGGGGUGAAGGGGAGAAGCCAUUGAUGUCUGGAGUGUGGAGGCCUACUGACUUAGGGUGUUGUUUUUGAAAAUACCAGAAGCCCAUAGUAACCUAGUAAUUAGACUGGCACUGUCGCCGACGUUUGUUUAAUGGUUGAGUGAUCAGAAGUUUUCUUUCAUUAUUUUUCUUUCUCCUGUCAACUCUGGCUCAUUAGAAAGGCAUGUGAAUCUUUCCUUACACAUAAUUUUCCAACUCUGAAGUGAGAAAUUGAACUGAACUCAAUUACAGCAGCUGAUCUAAUGUACUUAAUUGCACACAGGAGCUGGGAAUUUGGAGGGUUCUUUGGGAUAUGGGGGUGAACAAAGUGGACUUGGAGUUAUUGAUGUCACCUCUACCUGUGAGUAUGCACAUGGUCUCCAGGCCACCUCUCCCCCGUCUCUAGCACACAUUUGUGUGUACACAUAGAGGAAAUGCAGAUGCUGUAACAUCAUGUCCUCUGAGGUGGUGGCACUUCCUCUUAUGGUUUGGCUUAUGAAUUUACAAUUGCUUUCAAAUACUAAUUCAGAAGCGUGCAUAAGUUUUUUAAAAAUAUGUUUCCCCGCUGAACAACUGCAGCAAAACUAAUGAAAAAAAGUUAUGCAAAGAAGGAAAGUUGACUGGAGGGCAGAGCUUCUCUCCAAAGGAAAAACAGUAAACAGGACAGGUUGGAAUCCUGCUGCUUCUCAGCAGAGCACACAGCAGCAUUGUGGGGUCUGUGAAAGCUGGCGUCCUGUAAUCAAUACAGCCACCUUGGCCCUAGGGAGCUCAUCAUCCUCAUAGUGAUGACCAUGCACUGAGCACUGGAUCUGUGCUGGGUACUUUGUCCUUGCUUUUCAUACCUUAACUUCAGUCUUUAAGACACUCCUGUGCAGCAGAUAAAAGUGGUAUUCCUGUUUUACAGAUGGGGACAGUGAUUUUCGGAGGGCACAAAGACUCGCUUGAGUGAGUAACAGCAUGGGGUUGAAUCUCUGGUCUGAGCCAAAGCCAGGGGUUGUUGCAUUAUGUCCCAGCGCCACACCAAAGCUUCCGAAUCCAAGGCACAGAGAGGGCCAGGCAAAACAGAAACUGUCAUCUGCCCCUCCUUCCUCCUUGACCCUUCCCUGCCUUCUGCUUCCAUUGUCACUUUCUGUACUCCUCAUCCUUCACUUUCCCUUCUCCCUCAUUUCCGUCCUUCCUCCUGAAGUCAUCCUCCAUUCUUUUUCCUUCCUCUCCAUUCUCACUGAUCUUUCAUCAAUAAUCGGUCAUGCAGUUGUCACUCUGAAAACCAAAAAGGGGCCCUAGGCAAGA